GCUCCACUUCCACUAAGCAAGAUGGCGUAGGGGAACGAGCGCCGCAAUGCCAGUCGGUACUACGACUGGAACACAAAGUCAUACAAUAGGUUGGACAACUCUCAGGCACUAUAGUACAGUGGGUAUAUCCGAUGCCGCGCCAUCUCCUGUCUUCAAACACAGUCCUCCAGCCGAGCGCGUAGAGUCUGAGAGACCAGUCCACGCCCCACACUCUUUCAGCGUCUUCGGCUGCCCUCCUCAACACCCCGCCGUAGUGAUAGUCACACCUUGCAGUGGCGACGACAGAACAAAACACUGCUUCGCUGCUGCUCCGUUCAACAUGAACGUAAAAGACGGAGCGACAUACAAUGUGUCUACACUCUGGGAGCAGGAGACACCGGCAGGCAACACCAGAGAGAACUGAAUAUUGAAAGGAGACAGCUUUGAUGUGAAGGACUUCAAAAUGGACCCAGACACCUUCUUUACUGUCCUCAUCAUUACCUGUGUUCAGCUCUCAGAAUCUAAUGGACUGGAACCUGUAACUGCUGAUGUGAAAAGCUCUGCCCUCCUGCCCUGCACUGGCACCGCCCACAGGGGUCAGGCAGAGGUGAAAUGGACAAGCAGUGGAGACCCUGUCUUUGUUUACCACCAGGGGAAGCUCACCACAGGUCCUGGGUUCAAGAACAGAGUCCAUCUGUCCAAGGAGGAGAUUGAGGGUGGAAACUUCUCCCUCAUCAUCAGUCCUGUUGAAUACAGCGAUAAAGGUCUUUACAGUUGCUUCUACAACAAUGAAUGGCUUCAUGAUGUCAGACUGGAUGUUGUUGGUAAGUUGUUUUAAAUACAUUGUUUGUUGUGUCCAAAGUGAGUCCUGAGUGUCACUGCAAUACCUGAGUUGGGCUCCAUUCCUGUCCGUCUUCCUCUGUCCUCUUCGUCCUCUCUGUCCAUGUUCCCCUCACCGUGCUCCUAACCCUAAACCCCUCAGUGCCUACGGUGGUCUCUGUACCAGUAGGAGACCCCGUCAAACUCCACUGUUAUGCCGACAUCAACAGACAGAUAGAAGACAGCCAGCUUGAUGUGCGUUGGGAGAAGGAGGGAAAACUUGUUCUGCACCUUCAUCAUGAGUCGGUCACCCUGGGUUCAAAAACAGAAUCAAUGUGUCUAAAGAGGACAUUCGAAAGGGCGACCUGUCAUUGAUCUUGAACGAGACGCGUCUUUCGGAUCAAGGACACUACCAGUGUUUCUACAACGAGGAGAAAAAGACAGGAGAUCCUAGGAGAAUCUCACUGAAGGUCACAGCCCGUGAGCACAACCACACUGCCCCAGAGUGCACUCCAGUACAAGAAUCUUCCAAAUCACUGGUACUGGUACUGGCAGUGGCACUGGGACUGGCAGGGGCAUUGGUGAUUGCAGUUCCCUUGGUGGCAGUCUGGUGCUACCAUAAAUGGAGAAAAGGGAACUUGUGCUGCCGAAGGCAGAGGGGGUCACAGACAGACAUUGAAAAGGGAAAUGAAGAGGAGCAGGCGAGCAUGAACAUGUCAUCGAGAAACAGUGAUGCAGGAUAUUCAGAGCCCGACACCAGUGAUAUGGACAGCGACAGUGUGCACUAUAAGAUGUCAGUGCUUCUGUCAGCUGCUGAAAAUGACAGCAGAUCCUAAAGAUUUCCUGGUGAAGAAGUGUUUGAACUGGGUUACGAAUGAGCAUAUGUGGAGAAUUCUUUGUAUUUUUUUAAAUAUUUAUAUUCACUUUAUAUUUUCACUCAACAUUCAAGACACACAGGACAAGAUGUUAACCCUAUGCAUAUUUCUGAACGGCUGUACACAAAACUAUGUAAUAUUUUUUUA